ACAGUCACACAUUAGAUACCCUGUAGUCCCAGCCGUAAACUAUGCGCGUUAGGUGUAUCGGUGACCACGAGUCACCGAGGUGCCGAAGGGAAACCGUGAAACGUGCCGCCUGGGAAGUACGGUCGCAAGGCUGAAACUUAAAGGAAUUGGCGGGGAGCACCACAACGGGUGGAGCCUGCAGUUUAAUUGGACUCAACGCCGGGAAGCUCACCGGAUAAGACAGCGGAAUGAUUGCCGGGCUGAAGACUCUGCAUGACUAGCUG
rnacentral:rRNA from 1 species